UAAAACGUAGGGGGCGAGCGUUGCCCGGAUUCACUGGGCGUAAAGCGGGUGUAGGCGGUCCAUUAAGUCGGAUGUGAAAUCUCACGGCCCAACCGUGGAAUUGCAUCCGAUACUGGUGGACUUGAGGACGGUAGAGGCCGGUGGAAUUCCCGGUGUACCGGUGAAAUGGGCAGAUAUCGGGAGGAACACCAGUGGCGAAGGCGGCCGGCUGGGCCGAUCCUGACGCUGAGACCCGAAAGCCAGGGGAGCAAACCGGAUUAGAUACCCGGGUAGUCCUGGCUGUAAACGGUGCGAACUAGGUGUGGGGGCUGUCAUGGCCUCCGUGCCGAAGCUAACGCAUUAAGUUCGCCGCCUGGGGAGUACGGCCGCAAGGCUA
rnacentral:rRNA from 1 species